UGGGAUAUGCUACUCAAUACCACUGGCAUGGCCAGGUGUAAACAACAUCUGACCUUUGUUGUGUAUGUAACCAUGGAGAUUGUGAUGUCGCCUAGGCCCACCAAAGAACAGCCUUGUCAGAAGCAGCACUGCCAUGAGCAGAAGUAGCAGCACCAUAGGUUGUCAAAUAAGUUGGAUUUAACCAAGACAAGUGAGUCCAAUAGGAUGCAGGUAUGUCCUCUAUCCUUACAGCUUCCCGUGGCUGUUGGUUUUAUACCGUUUGGGGACAGCCAAGGAGGCGUCAGCAGGCAACACAGGCCCACCAAAGAACAGCCUUGUCAGAAGCAGCACUGCCAUGAGCAGAAGUAGCAGCACCAUAGGUUGUCAAAUAAGUUGGAUUUAACCAAGACAAGUGAGUCCAAUAGGAUGCAGGUAUGUCCUCUAUCCUUACAGCUUCCCGUGGCUGUUGGUUUUAUACCGUUUGGGGACAGCCAAGGAGGCGUCAGCAGGCAACACAGGCCCACCAAAGAACAGCCUUGUCAGAAGCAGCACUGCCAUGAGCAGAAGUAGCAGCACCAUAGGUUGUCAAAUAAGUUGGAUUUAACCAAGACAAGUGAGUCCAAUAGGAUGCAGGUAUGUCCUCUAUCCUUACAGCUUCCCGUGGCUGUUGGUUUUAUACCAUUUGGGGACAGCCAAGGAGGCGUCAGCAGGCAACACAGGUAAGUGUGUGCUUGUAUGUGUGUGUGUGUGUGUGUUUCCUAUGCAGAUCCUA